rnacentral:rRNA from 1 species
AACGAACGCUGGCGGCAGGCUUAACACAUGCAAGUCGAACGCCCCGCAAGGGGAGUGGCGCACGGGUGAGUAACGCAUGGGAACCUACCUAUCGGUACGGAAUAACACAGGGACACUUGUGCUAAUACCGUAUGAGCUCUACGGAGGAAAGAUUUAUCGCCGAUAGAUGGGCCCGCGUCCGAUUAGCUAGUUGGUGAGGUAACGGCUCACCAAGGCUUCGAUCGGUACCUGGUCUGAGAGAAUGAUCAGCCACACUGGGACUGAGACACGGCCCAGGGUCCAACGGGAGGCAGCAGGGGAGAAUAUUGGACAAUGGGCGCAAGCCUGUUCCAGCCAUGCCGCGGGAGUGAUGAAGGCCUUAGGGUUGUAAAGCUCUUUCGUCGGGGAAGAUAAUGACGGUACCCGAAGAAGAAGCCUCGGCUAACUCCGUGCCAGCAGCCGCAGUAAGAC